rnacentral:rRNA from 1 species
GUUCCUUGGAAAAGGACAGCUGAGAGGGUGACACUCCCGUCCGCCUGGUAGAAUGAGUCUUUGUCAACGAGUCGAGUUGUUUGGGAUUGCAGCUCUAAUUUGGUGGUAAAUUCCAUCUAAAGCUAAAUAUUGGUGGGAGACCGAUAGCGUACAAGUACCGUGAGGGAAAGAUGCAAAGAACUUUGAAAAGAGAGUUAAAGAGUACCUGAAAUUGCUGAAACGGAAGCGAAGGAAACCAGUGUUUGUUGGUUCAUAUUUCCCUUGUCACUUGUGAUGUGGGCGCUGUGAGCUUGCGUGGGUUUGCUUUGGUUGAUUCCUUUGGAAGAGCGCAGUCAGAGUUGAUGUCU